AGAUAGAUGAGGGCUUUCUCUGCCAUUGCAGGCUGAGACUUCUCGGGGCUGCUGGAUGGAGGCGCGGGCUGGCAGGAGCGGGAGCCCAGAAGCCAAAGCGGUGGCCUUGAACUCCAGGCCAAGAUGCGCAUCUACCAGCGUCGUCUCCCCUCCUCCCUCUACUUCCUCCCAGGCACGCCAGCUGCGGGGCUUUCAAACCGCGCCCUCUUCCUGCUUGAGGAGCUCAAGAAAUCAUUUGACAGAACCUGGAGUCAUCUUUGGUUGUCAUGAUGGGAGGAUGCAGGAGGAUGGAAGGAGUUAUGUGAUCUGUACCUGGCGUGAAGAUAACAAGGAUAUUGAUACACAGCACAGCACAGCCCACUCACUGAACAUAUCCCUACCCUCCCCAAGCCAGCAGUAACAAGGUUGAAAAACCCUGAGGUGUAAGUUGUGAAUUAAAAACUGAGCAAGUUGUGACAAAGUACUGGGACAAUGGAAGGAUGAGGUGGUGCCAGAGUCUUUUGGGAAAUCAGGGAAACCUCACAUGGCCCAUCUCCAUACAAGAUUAAACUUCAAGAAAUUUCUGGGACACUUCUAUGUGCUUUGCAACCUUCUGUGACCAGCGAGAGGCCUGGGGGGAGUCAGUACUUUCCUACUGUAUUUAUACCUGGCAUAACUAGCAUGACAUUAACCUAGAGAUUAUUAGGAAUGAGAUAAUAAAUACUAAGCUAUAUAAUCAAAGGUGUGCGGCUGCUCCAAUUAAAAUCUACAGUUGCCUGUGAACCGGAUUCAGGGGCACAGGGUGGUGACUAGAUAAAUGUUCACUCAAUGAAGAAAAGAAUAAAUAGUUUUUAAUUGAAUGAA
rnacentral:lncRNA from 1 species